UACGUAGGGUGCGAGCGUUGUCCGGAAUUAUUGGGCGUAAAGGGCUCGUAGGCGGUUUGUCGCGUCGGGAGUGAAAUCCACUGGCUUAACUGGUGGCUUGCUUUCGAUACGGGCAGACUGGAGGUAUGCAGGGGAGACUGGAAUUCCUGGUGUAGCGGUGAAAUGCGCAGAUAUCAGGAGGAACACCGGUGGCGAAGGCGGCAUCCUGGACCGGCAUUGACGCUGAGGCGCGAAAGCCAGGGGAGCAAACGGG
rnacentral:rRNA from 1 species